GAGGAAGUAAAAGUCGUAACAAGGUUUCCGUAGGUGAACCUGCGGAAGGAUCAUUCAUAAUAAGUGUUUUAUGGCACUUUUUAAAUCCAUAUCCACCUUGUGUGCAAUGUCAGUCGAUCUUCUUUAUGGAGAUCGACCAAACAUCAACCUAAUUUUUUAACUCUUUGUCUGAAAAAUAUUAUGAAUAAACAAUUCAAAAUACAACUUUCAACAACGGAUCUCUUGGCUCUCGCAUCGAUGAAGAACGCAGCGAAAUGCGAUACGUAAUGUGAAUUGCAGAAUUCAGUGAAUCAUCGAAUCUUUGAACGCAUAUUGCGCUCUUUGGUAUUCCGAAGAGCAUGCUUGUUUGAGUAUCAGUAAACACCUCAAAGCUUUUGAUUUUUUUUUAAAAGUUUUGGACUUGAGCAAUCCCAACACCAAUCUUUUUCAGAUCGGCGGCGGGUUGCUUGAAAUGCAGGUGCAGCUGGACAUUCUCCUGAGCUAAAAGCAUAUUUAUUUAGUCCCGUCAAACGGAUUAUUACUUUUGCUGCAGCUAAUAUAAAGGGAGUUUGACCGUAUUGGCUGACUGAUGCAGGAUUUCACAAGGGUCGGCAACGAUUCUUGUAAAACUCGAUCUCAAAUCAAGUAAGACUACCCGCUGAACUUAAGCAUAUCAAUAA
rnacentral:rRNA from 1 species